rnacentral:rRNA from 1 species
GAGCGGCAGACGGGAGAGUAACACGUGGGAACGUGCCCUUCAGUUCGGAACAACCCCAGGGAAACUUGGGCUAAUACCGGAUACGUCCGUAAGGAGAAAGAUUUAUCGCUGAAGGAUCGGCCCGCGUCUGAUUAGCUAGUUGGUGGGGUAACGGCCCACCAAGGCGACGAUCAGUAGCUGGUCUGAGAGGACGACCAGCCACACUGGGACUGAGACACGGCCCAGACUCCUACGGGAGGCAGCAGUGGGGAAUAUUGGACAAUGGGGGAAACCCUGAUCCAGCGACGCCGCGUGUGUGAAGAAGGCCUGCGGGUUGUAAAGCACUUUUAGUGGGGAUGAAAAGCUCAGNGGCUAACACCUAUGAGUAUUGACCUAACCCAAAGAAAAAGCACCGGCUAACUCUGUG